rnacentral:rRNA from 1 species
UACGUAGGUCCCGAGCGUUGUCCGGAUUUAUUGGGCGUAAAGCGAGCGCAGGUGGUUUAAUAAGUCUGAUGUAAAAGGCAGUGGCUCAACCUUUGUGUGCAUUGGAAACUGUUAGACUUGAGUGCAGUAGAGGAGAGUGGAAUUCCAUGUGUAGCGGUGAAAUGCGUAGAUAUAUGGAGGAACACCGGUGGCGAAAGCGGCUCUCUGGACUGUAACUGACACUGAGGCUCGAAAGCGUGGGUAGCAAACAGG